AUGAUUAAUACUGUAUUACUAUUUCACUCUCAGGUCAUUCAGCAGAACAGCCACCAUACCUCAGAAGUCACGGAAGUGAAAAAGCACUUACUGCACAAUGAAAAUAAGCACAGAGGCUCAGAGAAUAAUGUAUACUGCCACCUCCUUCUGGAAUACUAGAACUACAUGAAGCUGCAUCAUCUGCUGGGUUAGCCUGGAAUAAUAUGAUUUACAGGAUAUCUGCAGGAUAAUCUGUGAAGUUUGCAACAGAACAACUCGCUUCCCUAAGGGCCUGACCAAGCCUAGCCAGCCCUAUUCAAAAACCAGCCUCCAUUUUAUUCUGAAGUGAGAAAGUCUGAGGACUGCAAGUCCCUGAGCAUGUCUGGCAGGCAAAGCAUCAUCAUAGAGGAAGAAGAAUAAAAAAGGCCAGACUCCUCCA
rnacentral:lncRNA from 1 species